rnacentral:misc_RNA from 1 species
UUUCCGUAGGUGAACCUGCGGAAGGAUCAUUAUUGUAUAACCGAGGUGCGAGGGCCGUCGCUGACCCGAAAGGUCGUGCACGCCCGAGUGCCCUCACACACAUCCAUCUCACCCCUAUGUGCACCACCGCGUGGGACCCCCUUUGGCUUGUUCGGAGGGGGGCUUACGUUUUCACACAAACUUUGUAUGCAGUGUAGAAUGUAUUUUUUGUUUUUGCGAUCACGCAAUCAAUACAACUUUCAACAACGGAUCUCUUGGCUCUC